CACGUAGGGUGCGAGCGUUGUCCGGAAUUAUUGGGCGUAAAGAGCUCGUAGGCGGUGUGUCGCGUCGGCCGUGAAAACCUGCAGCUUAACUGUGGGCUUGCGGUCGAUACGGGCAUCACUGGAGUUCGGCAGGGGAGACUGGAAUUCCUGGUGUAGCGGUGAAAUGCGCAGAUAUCAGGAGGAACACCGGUGGCGAAGGCGGGUCUCUGGGCAUCUCCUGACGCUGAGGCGCGAAAGCGUGGGGAGCAAACGGG
rnacentral:rRNA from 1 species